rnacentral:misc_RNA from 1 species
UGACAAAUAUUCUUCUAGACAAAAAAAACUCACGUACGAAACUUUCUCUUUGUAAACAAUCCGGAAAUCUGCAUGCAGAUAAGAGGAGGAAGUGAAGUGUAUUCAGUUUUAUUACAACAGUAGAUUUCUCUGAGUGUUCGCAAGGUAAAAAACGAUGACCAUAACAAUCGCUAGCCAAUCUCUCUCGCAGUUACCCGAAACUGUUGCAGAAAUCUACCAGCAGUUUCCGUCCUUGGAGACUGAAGCCUUGAAACUCGUGCAGACCCCUCUAUGUAUUAUUGACAAACCUGAAGGAGUAUUGUAUGUCACCCAAAAAGAAUAUGCUGUGUUAAAAAAUGACGAUGAAAACUUAUCAAUGAUUGGAACUGAUGAUGCCACAACUUGUCAUAUAGUGGUCCUUGUUAACAGAAAAGAAUCUAGUGUGUGUGUGGCCCACAUAGACUCCACCGAUGAUUUGGAUGAGGAAUUGACCAGAAUGGUAUUGGAUGUAAUGGGCCAACAACAUGCCGAAAGUGAUUUUUAUCUCGAACUUUCAAUUAUGGGUGGCUACCGUGAUGAAAUGCACAAAUCAGAGAUGUUAACACUAGACCUUUUACAGUUCUAUAACGAUUUGCCAGUAAACUUUCAACUUAAAUCUCUAUGUGUCAAUUCUGUUAACACCCGAACAAGCAAUGGGAUCAAUUGGCCUAUAAUAUAUGGCGUGGCUGUGGACCUGCAAUCUGAUUUCAUCAUUUCUCCUGCAAAGUUCAAUUUGAAUGUCCGAGGGCCUUGCCUCUCACUGAGGUCUUCAAGAUUUCUCAGUAGUCAGUGCUCCCUUCAAAGGGUGUAUCACACUGGCGAGGGAAUUUUCCGUAUCAAUCCUUUCAGUUAUCGGUACCACUCCCAGAUGGUCGACUGGAUACAUAAGAGCGACGAUUUUAUCCUGAACAAUUUUUCCACAUCGCCCGCUGUAGAACCAGAACAUUUCCCUCAAGAAAUGAAGCAAGUCUUCCAGUUUGUAGUCCACAAUCCUUUCCCAUUGGCCAGUGUAUUUAAAUUUAACAAAUCCGUAAAGUAUGUACCCUCGCCCCAAGGCCAGUGGCUGAAGCUUUAAUUCCGCAUUUAUUUGAUUUUAGAAAAAUGAUUUUGUAUACUUAAUAAGGGUUCGAUUACUAGAACACUUUUAGCGCACAACGUCAUCUAAAGUAGACUGCAGAAAUGGAAAGUCGAACUUUAACCAACCGACGGAGGGAAACAGGAACAAAUAUUACGCACUUUAAAUCGCUAUUUUCGUUUUAUAUAUUUUCAUCCUGUUUUAACGCAACAACCGCACUGAUCGAUGGCCAACUGAUGUAUGGCAAUGGAUAGAGCUUCGAUAAAAGUGAAUUGAAUGUUAGAUAUCGCACAUGCCAAUUGGUGCAUAAUCAAUUUUUAAGUGAUGGGAUUAUGAAACCCUGCUCGACUGAUGCAAAGUUAUUCUUCGCGUAUCACUUAACAAAAUGCCAGCUCGCACUGAAAUUGCCCUCACCACUUUUUUCUUCGUGAUAUCCGGUGACCUUCGAAAACAGAAAGUAUAAUUGUUGACGUUCAGUUUCAUGUGAAAAUGAAAAUGAAAAAAUUAUGCGCCAUUUGUGUUGCGACGUGUACAGGCCAUUCAUUGUUCAAAAUUGUGUUUAUAUCUUUGUUGAAACAGCACAGUGAUAGUUUUUAAUGGCAAAAGCGUAAUAUUUGUACCGUGCACUGCAUAAAGUGCGCCUGACCUCAGUGUUCGUAAUAAGAGAAACGAAGUUGUUUCUGUAAAUAAAAGAUAUUACGUAAAUUCAA